AUUGAACGCUGGCGGCACGCUUUACACAUGCAAGUCGAACGGUAACAGGCCGCAAGGUGCUGACGAGUGGCGAACGGGUGAGUAAUGCAUCGGAACGUGCCCAGUCGUGGGGGAUAACGCAGCGAAAGCUGUGCUAAUACCGCAUACGAUCUGUGGAUGAAAGCGGGGGACCGAAAGGCCUCGCGCGAUUGGAGCGGCCGCUGUCAGAUUAGGUAGUUGGUGGGGUAAAGGCACACCAAGCCAACGAUCUGUAGCUGGUCUGCGAGGACGACCAGCCACACUGGGACUGAGACACGGCCCAGACUACUACGGGAGGCAGCAGUGGGGAAUUUUGGACAAUGGGCGCAAGCCUGAUCCAGCAAUGCCGCGUGCAGGAAGAAGGCCUUCGGGUUGUAAACUGCUUUUGUACGGAGCGAAAAGGCUCUCUCUAAUACAGGGGGCUCAUGACGGUACCGUAAGAAUAAGCACCGGCUAACUACGUGCCAGCCGCCGCCGUAAUAC
rnacentral:rRNA from 1 species